GACGGACCUUUCCGUCAGUCCCAUACCUUAUUUGGAAAUGGGACUAUUGCAUUCCGGAAAUGAAGGGGGCGCUAUUUUCAUAAUCACUAGUACAAAUACCUUAAGACGCGGGGUUAAGAGGAAAGGAAGAAGAAAGAAAGAAGUUUGAGAGUUUCUUCCACUGGUGUUCGGCGCACGAUCAACAAUGCAAAACUCACAAAGUCAACAAAAGAUCCACGUAUCUGUUUGCAACAUGAACGAUAAAUAUUGCUGUUCCCUUUGCUAAUACAAGCUACAGAACCAUAUAGCACAAACUGCUAUGGUUCAACAUAACGAUGCCUCUGAAUGUUCUUGAAGCUGUUCUCCAGGAGGUGAUACCAGCACAGGGAGACUCAGCUUACCUCACCUUGGCAUUGACCUGCAAGUGCUUUGAAGCCGUUGUGUCUGACCCAGUUUUCAGGAAGAAGACUCAUUUUGCUUGGCUGGAUGGUAAGGACCUUUGACCUUUUUCACCUAAAACAUGUGAAAUUAGAUUUCAACUACAUGAAAUCGAUUUUUCAUUAACGGGUGAGAUCAACUGGGGCAAAUUUUCAAAAACAUUCAAGGCAGAAAACCGGAUUCCUUUUGCGGUUGUAACGUGUUUUUCCUGCAACCGGUAAUAUAAAGACUGUGGGCUUCACCGGCGAUGGAAGACGAGGAGAGUACCCUGGUUACUACUGUGAUGGCCGACCUGGACACUGCACUGACUGUCAAUAAUGAAUGCAAGGAGAAUAUUAGUUGCUUUCCACAGUCUUUCACACAUUUCAGUUGUCACACAUUGUUUUUUUUUUUUGUGACAAGCCAUUUUAAAUCAUUUCUGCUAAAGAAUAUUUGCCUUUUGACUUGUGCAGUCAUCCUUUUUCAUAAUGUGUUCUUUCAAUAUUAUUUACAUUUUUGAAUGUUCCUUUUGUUGCAGCUCAGUUGAUUUACAUUAUUUAGUUUUCAUAGAAAUGGUGCCGUUUCCACACAAAGUUACAUUGUGGCUGUAAUUUGUUGGAGAGAGUAGAACCAAUAAAGUAGUUGUAAAUAUAUUGGAACAGCGUUAUUUAACAAUAGGAUAACCUUGUUUUAAAAAUUUUAAAUGCAAGCAAAGCUAAUAACUUGCAAUAUUAUAUAUGUGUAAAUACAAUGUUUCCUAUACUUUUUGAACAAUGACUGGAAUCAAUACAAAUUUUCUUUACAAACCUGACAUACAGCCAAGUUGUUUAUGUUUUAACAGUCAGAAUCAACUGUUGGGUUUUUUGUAAUAACGUAAGCACAUACAGAAACAUAUUGUCCGGUUACAAAGUCAUAAUACAAACAUAAGAUUAAAGGUAUCCUGACUUUAUGAAGAGAGAUGAGCCCGGCGCCGUUAGGCUGGGAUGGAGACACAUGAUCAGGUGAUUGGCUGAGCAGCUGAGAUGAAGACAGUUAUAGUUAGAAUUUACACAUUGGUUUAAUUUAUGUAACCAGUGACUUUAUUCAAAAAGGUUUUCAUAUAGAAAAAAGAUCAUUCUCUCUGGCAGUUACCAGCGCAGUGUCUACUGCCGGGGUCCGAGCCCCAAAGAUUAUUUCUUGUCAAAUAAACUUUCUAAAACCUA